UAUUAGAUGAAAAGACAAUAGAGUCCUCCCUGAUUAUGAGAUCAAAAUUUACACCAAACAUUGCAAAUGUAGGAAACUCAGGAUUUACCAUGUUUAUGUUUACAAGGGUCAUGCCAUCUGAUAGGGAGUUAGUGUCUGUUGAAAAAGAAAUUGCAGAGUUUGCUUGAUACUUCGUGGGUCUAUUGUCCACAGAAGAAAUUCUGAAUUCCAUGAUAUUAUCAGCAUCAGUUUAAAGUUGCUGUCUUCCAACAAUGCAUCACUGGAAGCUGAGCUAAAGGAAAAUGACCAAACCUUGAAUCAGAUGCUGCAGCUGCCCCUGUUUCAUUGUCAGCAAAAUCAGAUAUACUAGAUGUGGUAGUGGCUGCUCUCCUAAAUGUCUUGUAAAUGGAGUCAUCUGGCUGCAGAAUUUUUGGAGAAACUCCCGGGUACUUAAACUGGAACCUGUAAACCUGAGGUGGGCUCAGCACCACAGUAUUGCGAACACCAUUCUUGUUGUCUAACAAACUGAUGUCUUCCAACAACCAUGAUUCUGCGGGCCAGAGAUUUGGCUGGGAAGCUCUUCCAGAUUUGUGUAAGUCCUACUUGGCAUCCUCCAGGGCAGCUGCUACAAAUACAGUUCCAGAAUGGCCUCCUCACUCACAUGUCUGGUACCUCAGUGCUCCCUGGCACCAAUCUCUACAUGGCGUGGACUUCUCAUGGUCCGGUGGUGUCAGGGCAGUUACACUGCUAAGAUGGCAGCUAGCAUCUAAAGGCAUGUUUUCCAAGAGAUAGGAGUAGAAACUGAGAGUAUAAGAUAUGGAUAUUUUUCUUUUAUUAAAAUUUUAUUUGAGGCAUAGAAAUUUCAUGUAUUUCAUUUAUAGAGACUCAGGAACA